rnacentral:rRNA from 1 species
UACGAAGGGGGCUAGCGUUGCUCGGAAUCACUGGGCGUAAAGGGCGCGUAGGCGGCCAUUCAAGUCGGAGGUGAAAGCCCAGGGCUCAACCCUGGAAUUGCCUUCGAUACUGUUUGGCUAGAGACCGGAAGAGGUAAGUGGAACUGCGAGUGUAGAGGUGAAAUUCGUAGAUAUUCGCAAGAACACCAGUGGCGAAGGCGCUUGACUGGCUCGAUACUGACGCUGAGGCACGAAAGCGUGGGGAGCAAACAGG